rnacentral:rRNA from 1 species
CCCCUAGUAACUGCGAGUGAAGCGGGAAAAGCUCAAAUUUAAAAUCUGAUAGUCCCUGUGGCUGUCCGAGUUGUAAUCUAGAGAAGUGCUUUCCGCGUUGGACCGUGUACAAGUCUCUUGGAACAGAGCAUCAUAGAGGGUGAGAAUCCCGUCUUUGACACGGACUACCAGUGCUUUUGUGAUGCGCUCUCAAAGAGUCGAGUUGUUUGGGAAUGCAGCUCAAAAUGGGUGGUAAAUUCCAUCUAAAGCUAAAUAUUGGCGAGAGACCGAUAGCGAACAAGUACCGUGAGGGAAAGAUGAAAAGAACUUUGGAAAGAGAGUUAAACAGUACGUGAAAUUGUUGAAAGGGAAACGCUUGAAGUCAGUCACGUUGGCUAGAAAUCAACUCUUCAUUGAAGGGUGUACUUUCUGGCUUUACGGGUCAACAUCAAUUUUGACUGUUGGAUAAAUUUCAAUAUUUAUGCAUUUUCGGAUGUAUAGCCUUUGAUUGCAUACAACAGUUGGGAUUGAGGAACUCAGCAUGCCGCAAGGCCGGGUCAGAAUGACCACGUACAUGCUUAGGAUGUUGGCAUAAUGGCUUUAAUCGACCCGUCUUGAAACACGGACCAAAGGAGUCUAACAUGCCCGCGAGUGUUUUGGGUGGUAAAACCCGAGCGCGUAAUGAAAAGUGAAUGUUGAGAUCUCUGUCAUGGAGAGCAUCGACGCCCGGACCAGACCUUUUGUGACGGUUCCGC